rnacentral:rRNA from 1 species
UACGUAGGGGGCAAGCGUUGUCCGGAAUCAUUGGGCGUAAAGCGCGUGUAGGCGGCCUUGUAAGUCCGUUCUGAAAGCCCGGGGCUCAACCCCGGGAGGCGGGUGGAUACUGCUGAGCUCGAGUCCGGAAGAGGAGUGUGGAAUUCCUGGUGUAGCGGUGAAAUGCGCAGAUAUCAGGAGGAACACCAAUGGCGAAGGCAGCACUCUGGGACGGUACUGACGCUGAGACGCGAAAGCGUGGGGAGCAAACAGG